UGGGGAAUUUUGGACAAUGGACGAAAGUCUGAUCCAGCCAUUCCGCGUGCAGGACGAAGGCCUUCGGGUUGUAAACUGCUUUUGUACAGAACGAAAAGGUUUCUAUUAAUACUAGGAGCCCAUGACGGUACUGUAAGAAUAAGCACCGGCUAACUACGUGCCAGCAGCCGCGGUAAUACGUAGGGUGCAAGCGUUAAUCGGAAUUACUGGGCGUAAAGCGUGCGCAGGCGGUUAUACAAGACAGGCGUGAAAUCCCCGGGCUUAACCUGGGAAUGGCGCCUGUGACUGUAUAGCUAGAGUGUGUCAGAGGGGGGUAGAAUUCCACGUGUAGCAGUGAAAUGCGCAGAUAUCAGGAGGAACACCAAUGGCGAAGGCAGGUCUCUGGGCCAUUACUGACACUGAGGAGCGAAAGCGUGGGGAGCGAACAGG
rnacentral:rRNA from 1 species